rnacentral:rRNA from 1 species
UACGUAGGUGGCAAGCGUUGUUCGGAAUUACUGGGCGUAAAGCGCGCGUAGGCGGCUCUUCAAGUCAGGCGUGAAAGCCCCGAGCUUAACUCGGGAACUGCGCUUGAUACUGUCGAGCUAGAGUGUGGAAGGGGCGAUUGGAAUUCCGUGUGUAGCGGUGAAAUGCGUAGAUAUACGGAGGAACACCAGGGGCGAAGGCGGAUCGCUGGGCCAACACUGACGCUGAUGUGCGAAAGCUAGGGGAGCAAACGGG